AGCCCAUCAGAAGGAUGGAAAGCAGAGCGGCGGCGGGGACGAAGCUUGCUACUUUUGCCGGCGAGCGGCGGACGGGUGAGUAAUGCCUGGGGAUCUGCCCAGUCGAGGGGGAUAACUACUGGAAACGGUAGCUAAUACCGCAUACGCCCUACGGGGGAAAGCAGGGGACCUUCGGGCCUUGCGCGAUUGGAUGAACCCAGGUGGGAUUAGCUAGUUGGUGAGGUAAUGGCUCACCAAGGCGACGAUCCCUAGCUGGUCUGAGAGGAUGAUCAGCCACACUGGAACUGAGACACGGUCCAGACUCCUACGGGAGGCAGCAGUGGGGAAUAUUGCACAAUGGGGGAAACCCUGAUGCAGCCAUGCCGCGUGUGUGAAGAAGGCCUUCGGGUUGUAAAGCACUUUCAGCGAGGAGGAAAGGUUGGUAGCUAAUAACUGCCAGCUGUGACGUUACUCGCAGAAGAAGCACCGGCUAACUCCGUGCCAGCAGCCGCGGUAAUACGGAGGGUGCAAGCGUUAAUCGGAAUUACUGGGCGUAAAGCGCACGCAGGCGGUUGGAUAAGUUAGAUGUGAAAGCCCCGGGCUCAACCUGGGAAUUGCAUUUAAAACUGUCCAGCUAGAGUCUUGUAGAGGGGGGUAGAAUUCCAGGUGUAGCGGUGAAAUGCGUAGAGAUCUGGAGGAAUACCGGUGGCGAAGGCGGCCCCCUGGACAAAGACUGACGCUCAGUGCGAAAGCGUGGGGGAGCAAACAGGAUUAGAUACCCUGGUAGUCCCACGCCGUAAACGAUGUCGAUUUGGAGGCUGUGUCCUUGAGACGUGGCUUCCGGAGCUAACGCGUUAAAUCGACCGCCUGGGGAGUACGGCCGCAAGGUUAAAACUCAAUGAAUUGACGGGGGCCCGCACAAGCGGUGGAGCAUGUGGUUUAAUUCGAUGCAACGCGAGAACCUUACCUGGCCUUGACAUGUCUGGAAUCCUGCAGAGAUGCGGGAGUGCCUUCAGGAAUCAGAACACAGUGCUGCAUGGCUGUCGUCAGCUCGUGUCGUGAGAAUGAUUGGGUUGAAGUCCCGCAACGAGCGCAACCCCUGUCCUUUGUUGUCCGCACCUAAUGGUGGGGAACUCAAAGGAGACUGACCGGUGAUGAUACCGCACGAAGGAGGGGGGAGUGAAGAUCAAUCAUUCAUGGGCCCGUUACUGGCCACGGCGACACACACUGCUUACAUAUGGUGCGGUCCAAAGGGCUGCUAGCUUAUCCAUAUUUAGUGAAUUCUCACAAAAGCGACGUCGUUGUUCCGAUCGGAGUUUGCAUUCGAUUCUUUGAAGUCCGAAUAGCAUGUAUCGCCAAAUCACCAGUUACGUGAAUACGAUUCCGACCUGUAAGCGUCGUCACAUGCAAUGCUGCUAGUAACUUAGCUAGCUCUGUAUCGAGCG
rnacentral:rRNA from 1 species